CAGGUGCAGCUGAAGGAGUCAGGACCUGGCCUGGUGGCGCCCUCACAGAGCCUGUCCAUCACAUGCACUGUCUCUGGGUUCUCAUUAACCAGCUAUGCUAUAAGCUGGGUUCGCCAGCCACCAGGAAAGGGUCUGGAGUGGCUUGGAGUAAUAUGGACUGGUGGAGGCACAAAUUAUAAUUCAGCUCUCAAAUCCAGACUGAGCAUCAGCAAAGACAACUCCAAGAGUCAAGUUUUCUUAAAAAUGAACAGUCUGCAAACUGAUGACACAGCCAGGUACUACUGUG